UGUGUUACACAUUGAUUAGGUGCAGCAUAGAACUGCUGCAUGGGAAUCUGGUGAAAAUCCAGAGCUGACGCGCAGCGGUGAAGGUGCAAGUGAGUGCUUCAAUGUAGCCACUGAGAGUAUAAAAACUCUUGGGAAGGUGAGGCAAUUACUCUCGCGUAGAGCACCCCAGUCCGAAGACCGGCCUAAUCAGAAACAUGUGCU
rnacentral:ncRNA from 17 species